GUAGUACUAACUAAGCAAGCCAAAAAUAUUGAUUACCAAAACCCAUUUUUGAUACAUUUAGUCUUCUUGAAGGAAACAAAAUGAAACAACUUAAAAGGGGGUAUAUAUGUUAGAUGCACAUUGACUCUCGUCUCUUGUCUAUGUACAUACAAUUCAAGAAGAAGGACAAUAAUCCUCUAACUAUUCUGCUGAUAGAAGUUUACCAACAUUUAUAUGUAUAUGAAGUAUUUAAAAGAUUCAAUAUGAUCAUCUAUGCAAUGGUGAUCUCCAAUCAAUCUUCUCCUCCUCAGGAUAAUCUUUUUGUACUUCUUUAGGAGGAAUGAAGCAAUCCAUAGAUAACCCUUCAACAUUAAAAGCUAUAUCAUCAAUGCUCCAAGUCUCCUCCAUCCUUGUAAUGGAAAGGCCUGCUUUUAAGUUGUCUCCAAAUCUUGUGAUCAUUACACUAGACUGACCACCGUGUGCGAUCAUCACUCCGUCUACCAUCCGGUAGUCUUCGACUUUCGUUGCAAUGGUGGUUUCCCAGUAUGUAGGGUAGGAUCCUGGUGAUUGAAUUCUGGUCAAGUAUGAGUCUUCUAGAUAAACCAGCAGCCCACUUCUCUGGCUGAAGUAACCAAACACUACAUGCUUGAUCAUUUCUGCUGUGCUAUCACUUCUAUCUGCUAAGUCUGCUAGAUCAGCAGACAAUUUCAGUACAAAACAAUCAAUUCCUGAGAUGCAUUUCUCUCCCAUGUAUUGUGCUGGAGAGAACACUGCUGAUAUUGCCAUUGGAUCUAAUCCCUGAAGAGUCCGGCGAAGAGGGCGGAGGCAACCUUUAGCCGCGUGAGCGCCAAGCCACGGAGUAUGGCGCCAAGCCACAUUACCAUCGCUACCGGCUACAACCUUAUUGCCGCUAACAACUAGUUCAAUUAGCCACUUAUUAGGGAACAUUUGCCACAUUACAAAACACCCCUUUUGUGCAUCACCAGUGGCUCCGGCUGCCAAACCAGGUGAGCCGCCUAGCUCAUCCACCAUAGCCAUUGCCACUUUUCCGGUGGCAAAUAUGUUCUUGACCCUCCCUUCUAAUUUCCGGCAACCGGUUGCCGCAGUGAAGUGUUGUAUAAUGUACUGGGCCGAGGAGCAUACCUCUUUGAUGGGUAGUUUGGGGUGAACGGAGACAGGAAAGAGAGGGCAACCAAGAACACUUAAGAGGAUCUUUAGGUCAGAUUUUUUGUUGAAGACAAGAGGGAAAUGAGACUUGAGCCAGUUCUUCCAUGACUGACCUGUCUUUGAGCAGUUGUUGCUCUUGUCUUCUUCUUCGUUUAUGGGCUCUUCUGACAAUGGUGCAAGCCUACUCAUUUCUUUGGUUUCUUUCUUUCUCUUUCUCUUUCUCUUUCAUCUGUCCUUUUCUUCUUCUUGUUCUCUUCCUUCUUAAUUACACUUCCAUGACUAGAACCUCCAUUGCUCUUUCCCUUUUUUGCUAGUUUUGUUUCUCCUUCUACUUCCCUCCUCUCAUCCUUGUUGUUCCUCUUUUCAUUUUUGCCUCCACGACUAGAAUCUCCAUUGUUCUUUGCCGUUUUACCUUCAUUCACUUUAUCUUCCUUCUUUGCAUUCAUAUUUUUCUCACUGUAAUCGUUUUUGCUUGUAGCUAUUUUUGCACCAACAUUUCGCUCCUUUUCUUCAACCUCCUUUUCUUUUUCUAUCAUCUUCUUCUUUCUCGUAUAUAUUUUCAAGUUUUCACUCUCGCUCAGCCCACAACCAUCCACUAUUUUCUUCCCCUUUCUUCUAUAAACCUUCUUCUGUACUUCCAAAUCCUCCUCCCUUCCCCGGCUAUUAGUAUUACCGACUUUGCUGCUCUCGACUUUUUCUUCCUCCUCCUCUUCUUCGUCUUCUUUGUCCGUAUCGCUUACAUACUCCUUGUGAACAUUCUGUACGUCGUCGCUUUCUUCGUCGGUUUCAUCGGCAUCUUGUGAUUCGGCACUGGAAGAUGGUAUGACGAAAUCCUCCGGCUCAUCUCUGUCGUGGUUGUCAGAAUUUCCGUUACUCUUCUUCGGCAUUACUGGAAUCUAGUAAGUUAAAUGGCUGCCGCCGUUUGCAACGGAUGUCCGCGGCGGAGAAGGGCACUUCCGUUGC
rnacentral:misc_RNA from 1 species